UGGGGGAUCUUGCGCAAUGGGGGAAACCCUGACGCAGCAACGCCGUGUGUGCGAUGAAGGCCCUCGGGUCGUAAAGCACUGUCAACAGGGAAGAUGGGUUCAUGCUCUAAUAGAGUAUGGGCUUGACGGUACCUGUGGAGGAAGCACCGGCUAACUCAUUGCCAGCAGCCGCGGUAAGACAGACGGUGCAAGCGUUGUUCGGAAUUAUUGGGCGUAAAACGCGCGUAGGCGGCGAGUUAAGUCGGAUGUGAAAGCCCGGGGCUCAACCUCGGAAGUGCAUCCGAAACUGGCUUGCUUGAAUCUUGGAGGGGGCAGUGGAAUUCCCGGUGUAGAGGUGAAAUUCGUAGAUAUCGGGAGGAACACCAGUGGCGAAGGCGACUGCCUGGACAAUGAUUGACGCUGAGGUGCGAAAGCGUGGGUAGCAAACAGGAUUAGAUACCCGGGUAGUCC
rnacentral:rRNA from 1 species